UGCACGUCGACGGGGAAGCAUGUUCGUUUGUCUCUAACAAGUUCCAACGAAUUCCGCGACUCGUUUCUAAUAUCAACAACUUUAUUUUUUUGUUUUCUUCAAACUUUACAAGUGAUGGAUACUUAUUGUGGUUUGAUCUAGUGGUUAAUAUAGAAUUAUACAGUGUGUAUUGUGUUGUGUUUGUGUUUUAACGUAUUUUCUUACGACAGUCCGGAUGUGUUGAAUGUGUUCGGAAUUUAAACAGCAUUCUGUCAAUUUUACACUCACCUGGGUAUUUUGGACCAAUAGUGUUUGAUACAUCUGUAAUGAUCGUUGGGUGGUGAAUUUUAGUAGGAUUCUUUUUUUAAGAUGGGAAACGAAAGCAGAUGGUGGAUGAGGCGGCGUUGUUGUAGGUGAACGGUGGCAGCAUGGCGCGAGCGCGGACGCGGGCCUGGGCGCUUGCGUUCCUCAUUGCAUGUGCAGCGUCGCUCACCAGGGCCUACCUCAUCCUUGUGCCCGACACCGCGCCGCCCGGACACGUCGUACUCGACGCGGCCGUCUACAAGCUUGGCUCGGAACGUGCAUACACAAUAGACGUACACCGUACCGCAAACUUCGUCCAUCAUGUCCUCAGAGUCAAUAGAACCUCCGGUCUCGUCACCCUCAGGAAAAGACUGCGAUGCGAUGGAGUACUCUAUCCUAACCUCUUCACUUUCUACGUAGACUCGACUUCAGAACGAAUACGCGAUAUAGACUACUACAGCCUUCCUAUUAGAAUACUAGUUACGGGAGAAGACUGCAGUAGACGACACGCUGAUCUCUAUGAUAUCGAUUUCGAUCGUGUCUACGAUCAAGAUGAUGCCGCGUUACAAUAUGAAGAUGAUCAUACCAGAGACAAACGAGCGGCACACUAUUAUCAACCAGAGAUAAUGGAUUGGAGAUUAAUGGAAGAGGAAGAAGAAUUACUUUCUAGUCAAUUUAAAGUGCUAUCGACAGCGUAUCCGUGGACGAGUGCAGUUUUCGAGGACUUCGCAGCGAGAAAUAGAAGUAGAAAUAAAAGAUCUCUGCCAUUACCUUUCGAUAUGGCGAUAGAUGUUAAGAUAGCCGAGGCUAAGCAAUGGAUCUCUGAAACGUAUGCCAGUUUUUCAAUACCGACUACUGAUCGGUGGCAGGGAAUAUGUCUUAAACAAUCACAAUUUAUAAAUUCGUUAACAGCGUUCCUCCCGCGUACUGUUCAAAAGUUUUGUAAAGUUCAAUUUUUGGAUGUCAGCGACCCUAGAUUCGUGAUCGAGAGCAGUCAGGGUGAUCUUGUAGCGAGUAGCGAUAUGUGCAUACAAGAACCGAUGUGGAAGGUGUCUAUCCUGUUUACUUUUAACUGUGACAAAUCGAACAUCGUAGACUCCGACCACAGACUAAAGAUAGUUUACCAUCAUCAGGAACUUAAUGAUACAGAUAUUGCUCGUAGAGUUAAGAGAGAAUUACGGAACCAGUCACCUUACUUCGAGCAAGCAUUGUACGUGGCUUCUGUUGCUGAGGAACAGCCGCCAGGUGUAGUCGUUACAACUGUCAGAGCUCGGGACCCUGAGAAUAGCCCAGUGACGUAUUCAAUGUCAAGUUUAUUGGACUCUCGUUCCGCGGGCAUGUUCGCGGUGGACACCAGGUCAGGCGUGGUCACAACGCAAGCGAGACUAGACAGAGAGAGAUUAGACGUUCAUUACUUCAGAGUGGUCGCGCAGGAUGAUACCUUCCCGCCUAGAAGUGGUACUACAACACUCCAGAUAAACGUACUGGAUUGCAACGACCACGCUCCAGUGUUCGAGAUGCAACAGUACGAGGCGUCAGUACGCGAGGGCGCCAGCGCCGGCACCACCGUCCUGACGCUUAAGGCCACCGACCAAGAUAUCGGCAACAACGCACAGGUUGAGUAUACGAUAGACUCAGUAUCAGCGGACAGUCUGAAUCCAGAGGAAGUUAAUGAAUCUGUGGAAGGUGAUACCGAACAAUCGAGCGCACCUGACGUGUUCCGUGUAGACGGCAGGAGCGGCGCGCUGCUCACGAGAGCGCCUUUAGACAGGGAGAAGGUCUCCAGAUACACUGUCAUUGUGAAGGCGACGGAUCAAGCGAGUCCUGUAUCAGAUAGGCUUUCUAGCAGUGCCACAAUCCACGUGAACAUAAUAGACGAUAAUGACAACUACCCGCAGUUCAGCGAGAAGACGUAUACCGUCACCGUCGACGAGGACAUCAGCGUCUCCGAUAACCCCAUCAUUGCCAAAAUCAAAGCUAGUGACGCGGAUGUGGGAGCCAAUGCUGCGAUCCGCUACGCCAUUAUAGGAGGCAACACGCAGAUGCAGUUCUCCAUCGACAGCCUCAGCGGCGAUGUGGCGCUUGUCAAGCCUCUAGACUACGAACAAGUGCGAAACUACCGUCUUGUAAUAAGGGCACAAGAUGGCGGGAGUCCAUCGCGGUCAAAUACGACACAGCUGCUGGUGAACGUGAAGGAUGUCAACGAUAACGCGCCCAGGUUCUACACCUCGCUGUUCCAAGAGUCCGUCAGCGAAAAUGUACCCGUCGGGUACAGUAUUGUCAGGGUGCAAGCUUAUGAUGCCGAUGAGGGUGUGAACGCUGAACUGACGUAUACUUUAUCGGACAAGGAGUACAACGGCAAUAACGAUCUGCCGAUCAGCAUCGACCCUCGUUCUGGCUGGGUCUAUACCUCAGCACAGCUCGAUAGAGAAGUCCAGCCUAAAUACCAAUUGCAGGUAACAGCAACAGACGGUGGUGUUCCACCACGUUCAGCAACAGCGUCAGUGGCGGUUGUAGUACAGGAUGUUAAUGACAACGACCCGGUCUUCUCACCGCCGCAGUAUGAAGUGGAACUGGCUGAGGAUGAACCUCCUGGCACACCAGUGGUUACUGUAACCGCGACUGAUGCCGAUGAGGAUAAUAGGUUGCAUUACGAGAUCACGGGUGGGAACACACGCGGUCGUUUCUCCAUCACGUCUCAGAACGGUCGUGGUUUGAUCACGGUGGCGCAGCCGCUCGACUUCAAGCAGGAGCGGCGCUACGUCCUCACCGUCACCGCCACUGACUCCGGCGGCCGCGCCGACACCGCCAUGGUGCACAUCAACAUCACUGACGCUAACAACUACGCACCGGUCUUUGAGAAUGCACCCUACACUGCUUCGGUAUUCGAAGACGCGCCAGUAGGCACGACAGUAUUGGUUGUGUCGGCGACAGACAGCGACGUUGGCGUGAACGCGCAGAUCACGUACAGCCUCAGCUCGGAGAUCUCCAACGAGGCGGUCGCGCAUCACGACCGGGAAUUCCUCAUCAACCCUCACACUGGAGCUAUUACCACCAACAAGCUGCUUGACAGGGAGACUAUGAGUGGGUAUCUUCUGACGGUGACGGCUCGAGACGGUGGUGUUCCUUCUCUUUCUGACACAACUGAUGUCGAGAUAUCAGUUGUAGACGUCAACGACAACGCGCCAGUGUUUAAACAACAAUUGUACACUUCUAGCAUUAUGGAGGAUGCUCUAGUUGGUACGUCAGUGACGCAGGUGAGUGCGUCAGACGCGGACGUGGGUCUGAACGGGCGCGUGCACUACGAGCUGGCGACGCGCGAACGUGAGGAAGGGUCUUUUGCACUGGACGCAGCGUCCGGCGUAUUGCGCACUAACAAGCCGCUGGAUAGAGAGUCUGUAGCUAUCUACGACCUCAAGGCCCUCGCGAUCGAUGGUGGUACCCCACCGCAGAGCUCCAGUGUUGUGAUCCACAUAAAAGUAGAAGACAUAAAUGACUCUCCUCCUGUGUUUGAAAGUGACUGCCUUACAUUCUAUAUACCAGAGAAUAGUCCUAUAGGGACUACUGUCGGAGAAAUAAGAGCCCAUGAUCCUGACGAAGGAGCAAAUGCUGUUAUACAUUAUUCUAUUAAAGGUGGUGAUGAUUCAAACAGUUUCUCAUUAGAAACACGUCAAGGGUCAGAUAAAGCGGAGCUAGUUACGAUGGUGGAUUUAGAUUAUGAAAGUCCGAGAAAGAAAUACGAAUUGGUCAUCCGCGCGGCCAGCCCGCCGCUCUGGAAUGACGUCAGAGUGGAAGUGUUGGUGACUGAUGUGAACGACAACGCGCCAAUGAUGAAGGACUUUCAGAUCAUUUUCAAUAACUUUAAGGACUGUUUUCCUGUGGGACCAUUCGGUAGAGUGCCCGCUUAUGAUGCCGAUGUUUCUGAUAAACUUCAAUAUCGAAUUCUAUCCGGGAACAACGCAAACCUUGUUCUAUUGAACGAAACAACCGGCGCCAUGACACUGUCGCCGCAACUCAAUACAAACGUCCCUAAAUUGGCUACAAUGGAGAUAUCAGUUACAGAUGGCGUGAACGAAAUCAAAGCGAUGAUGCAGCUGUCAGUGCGGCUAAUCACCGAGGAGAUGCUGUUCAACUCCAUCACCGUGCGGCUGAACGACAUGACGGCGGAACAGUUCCUGUCGCCGCUGCUCGGAUUCUUCAUCGACGGUCUGGCGGCCAUCGUGCCCUGCCCCAAGGAGAAUAUCUAUGUCUUCAGUGUGCAGGACGAUACCGAUGUGACGGGAAACAUCCUGAACGUGUCGUUCUCCGCGCGGCGGCCGGAGGCAGAGCUAGGCGCGGCGAGCGACGCAGCGGAGUUUUACUCGCCCACGCACCUGCGGGAGAGGCUUUACCUCAACCGCGCCACCCUCGCCAGGCUAGCUACAGUACAGGUGUUACCAUUCGACGACAACGUAUGCAUCCACGAGCCGUGCCUUAACUUCGAGGAGUGUCUCACCGUGCUGAAGUUCGGCAACGCGUCCGGCUUCAUCACCAGCGACAGUGUGUUGUUCAGGCCCAUCUAUCCUGUCACCACAUUCACUUGUCAAUGUCCGCAAGGAUUUACAGGUCUGCGAGAACACUUUUUAUGCGACACAGAAGUUGAUUUGUGCUAUUCCUCGCCGUGUGUUAACAACGGUACAUGUAUACGCCGAGAAGGAGGAUACACUUGUGUAUGUGCGCCUGGAUUUACCGGAACGAACUGUGAGACAGUUUUAAAAAAGGCGACAUGCGACCUGAACGGUGACGGUACAAUGUGCCGCAGCGGGUCGCAGUGCGUGGCGCGCCGGGAGGGCGGCAUCUUGUGUCAGGGGUGUACGAUCGACGCGGAGUAUACAACAGCUAUGUGUGAACUAAGAGCUAGGAGUUUCCCCACAUCUUCUUUUCUGACGUUUCCUGGCCUGAAAAGAAGGCACAGAUUUAAUUUUAAAUUAAAAUUCGCAACCACAUCUCCAUCUGGUCUUCUGAUGUACAACGGGCGGUACAACGAGCGACACGACUUCGUAUCGCUGGAGACGGUGGGGGGCGGGGCGGGGCGCGCGGGCGGGGAGGGGCUGCGCUUCUCCUUCGCGCUGGGCGGCGCCAGGACUGAGGUCUCCGUCGCCGCGCACGUCUCCGACGGCGCCUGGCACACGGUGGAGAUACAGUAUUAUAAUAGGACUGCAACUAUGAUAGUAGAUGACUGUGAUAAAGAUUUAUCGUUGGCUGGCGCGAACGAAUUCGGAAUAAAAUACGCAUGCGCGAACUUCACAAGGAAAGAAUUACCACCGCGAUGCGAUGUCCCCACUGAAACCUGUCACAGUCAUUUUCGUUAUCGCAGAUUUCUUGAUUUGACCGGACCUCUACAAAUUGGCGGUCUACCGAACAUCCCAACAAGCUUCCAAGUCAAGAACAAGGAUUUUGUUGGCUGCAUAUCCGAUGUGUAUAUCGACCAUAAAUUUCUAGAUCUUAACAGCUACGUGUCGGACAACGGCACACUAGCUGGUUGCCCGCAGAAGCGGUCGCGGUGCAGCUCCGCGCCGUGCCACCGCGCCGCCAACUGCACAGACCUCUGGGACUCCUUCCUCUGCGACUGCCCCGAGGGCUACUCGGGACAUGACUGCUCUGAGACAACGUCUGCGCCAUGGCGGUUCAGUGGCGAUGGAAUGUUGUCGUUCAACCCUCUCCUGCGGCCCAUCCAGCUACCUUGGCUGAAUGCCCUCAGUCUGCGCACGCGGCAACAUGACGCCUUCCUUAUGUCCGUACAAGUCGGACAGAAUAGCAGCGUAUUUAUUAGUCUUAAAUCGGGACUCCUGCACUAUUCGUAUAGCGGAGAAACGAUGUUCCUACCAUCGACUAACCUCGCUGAUGGCAACUGGCAUCGAGUAGAAAUCAAAUGGCUGGGCACCGACAUAUCGGUCGUUAUCGACUACGGGCUGAAGAGCGCGCUGCUGCCGAUGUUGGCCAACAAGAUACAAGGACAAUACAUCGGCAAGAUUCUCAUCGGCGGUCCUGAUACUACAGCGGGAUUGUUGGCAUCAGAAGUUGGAUACUUUGAAGGGUGUAUUCAAGACGUUCGAGUGGGCACCGCACAGUCUCUACUCAACCGGCCAACUGUCAGAGAAAAUGUUCGAGACGGAUGUCAGUCGAAGGCAGAUUGUUUGCUUUCGAUCUGUCCACCUUAUAGUAAAUGCGAGUCAGAGUGGGACAGCACGCAGUGCGUGUGCGAGCGCGGGCGCGUGGGGCCGGGCUGCGCGGCGGCGUGCGAGCUGCGGCCGUGCGGCGCGCACGCCGUCUGCCUGCCCGACGACUCGCACAGGGGCUACAGCUGCAAGUGCGCACAGGGGUACAUUAUGACAGCGGAGGGGUGUGUGGAGCAUCGCGAGGAGGAGUGUCCCGGCGGAUGGUGGGGUGUGACGGGCUGCGGGCCGUGCGACUGCGACUCGGCGCGCGGCUUCCACCCGCACUGCGCCGCUAAAGACGGCCGCUGCCGAUGCAAGGAGAACCACUACAAGUCCCCGGAGGGCGAGGGCUGCGUGGCAUGCCAGUGCUACGCAGCUGGCUCGCUCAACAGCUCGUGCGAAGACAGCAGCGGGCAGUGCCACUGCCGCAGCGGCGUUAUCGGCCGCGCCUGCGACUCCUGCUCCAAUCUGUACGCCGAGGUCACGCCCAAUGCUGGCUGCAAAGUUAUUUAUGAUGGAUGUCCUCGAUCGUUUUCGAAUGGAGUUUGGUGGCCACGAACCAAGUUUGGAGUAGAAGCUAUUACUGAUUGUCCAACAGGGUCUAGCGGAAGAGCGACGCGUAUGUGUGACGAGGUGCAAGUGGUGCCGUGGCAGGAGCCUGACAUGUUCAACUGUACAACUGAAACUUUUUAUCAGCUUCGAAAACAGCUACACAAGAUAGAGACGGGCGAGCUGACUGUGAACACGUUCGUGGGCGUGCGUCUCGCGGAGGAGGUGUGGUCCGCGUGCGCGCGCACGUCGCGGCUGUUCGGCGCUGACGUGCUCGUCGCUGAGGGGCUGCUGCUGGAGCUGCUGCGCCAUGAGCUGCGCCAGGCCGGCCUUAACCUCACACACAGCCAGGACAAGGAUUACGUCAGGAACAUAAUCAAAUCGGCAAACACAAUACUGAACAUGGAAUAUGAGAAAGAAUGGCAACGCAUUAGGAAGCUGACAGGCCACGGCGCUGAACAUCUGCUGCAAAAGUUCGACAAAUACAUAUCAGUACUCGCGGAAAGUCAGCAUGAUACUUAUACAAGCCCCUUUGAAAUCGUCACCAGUGAUUUGGUCAUUGGAGUGGAUAUUGUAACAGCAGAAUCGAUAUAUGGUUUCGAACCUACACAAUUAAACCGCUAUAGCGGAGAAACCAUGACAACUGAGCGUGUGGUACUACCCGAUACUUCUGCAUUCAUACAUUCCCCAAUACAAGCCGGCUACUAUAACAACGGCAAAACCAAAACAAAGAAACCAUCCAGUCCGACCGUGUCAUUCCCAAAAUAUAAUAACUAUGUGAAAAAUAAAAACAAAUUUGAUAAAUAUUCGAGGGUACUUCUGCCGCUGGAUCUGCUUGGAAUUAACAGUAAUACAGAAGAAAACAUAGUAUCAGUAUACGAGUCCCGUGCUGUAUUCGCAUACAUGCAGUACUCGCGCAACUCCUCCCAGCUCCUGCCGCUGCGCACUGACGACUCAGUGAGCCGGCGCUGGGGCGUCAACGUGACGCUCGGCUCGCCCGUGCUGCAGCUCGCGCUCUUCGUACCUGAACACGUCUGGAGGAGGGAGGCCAGUGACAACGACAGUCUUCACAUUAAUGAUGUUGCAGGUAUUGUCUACGCUAAUAAAGGUCAUAAUCAUCAAUCGCAAGCAAACAACAUUGGAUCAAACCCACAAACAAGAAAUCCCUGGUCACAAUCUAACGAAGACGAUAACAACGAAAAUCAUGGACCGAUUGUAAUUCAACCAGCCUUCAAAAGGCAAGAUAAAACUGAAGACACGGAAAAUUUAAAAGAAAGCAAUUCUACAUACGGCAGCGAAAAGGCUAUUAAAAUCGACAGUGAUGGUCUAAAAGUUAUGGCUCUUGUUAUGGAACCCAACGAUAAAACCAAAGAUGGAAUUAAUUCUACCAAAGAGGUGGAUAAAAAGAGGCUGGUCUAUAAAAGUCUGAGCGGUAUUAGGUUGAAGAAACCUAUCAGAUUGCAGUUAUGGUUGGAUAUAAAUAGAGAAACGUUUGGCUCCAGAACUAAUCCGCAAUGCGUUCAUUGGUCGACGUUGAGAGGGUCUGGUGAAUGGUCCCGUGUUGGCUGUCAUACUGAAAUAGAUUACGACUGGUCGCCUUACUCCGAUGAACCUCUACGCAUUAACUGCACGUGCAAUCAUCUAUCGACCUUCGCUGUGUUGGUCGAUGAAGUUGACAUUGAGUUGAUACCGGAGCCGUCUCUACUGGAGUCUGUUACUUCAUACACGGCGUUCAGCAUCUCCCUGCCGCUGCUGCUGGUGACGUGGACGGCGCUGUGCCUGAUGCGGGGCGGCGCCGCCACCGUCUCCAAUUCCAUACACAAGCAUCUCAUAUUCUGUGUCUUUAUGGCAGAACUUCUCUAUCUUAUCGCGCUCAAAGCUAGAAACUCUUUGGUGCAAAACGAGUUCGGCUGCAAGGUUAUAGCGAUGUCACUGCACUAUUGGUGGCUGGCGGCGCUGGGCUGGGCGGGCUGCGAGGCGUGGCAGCUGCGGCGGCUGCUGCGCGAGCUGCGCGACGUCAACCACGGCGGGCUGGCCGCGCCGCUCGCCGCCGCCUACGCCGCGCCCGCAGUCGCGCUCGCGCUCGCCGCCGCCCACACCCCGCACCAGUACGGCAACGCGCUCUUUUGCUGGGUGAGUUGCCACGAGCCGGUGGUAUGGUGGGUGGUGGUGCCGGCCGCAGUGUACGCCGCCGUCGCCGUGGUAUUCCUCGCGGGCGCCACGCGCGCUGCCUUCACCGUCCGAGAUCACGUUACCGGAUUUGGCAACUUACGGAUGCUGCUAGCAAUCAGUAUAAUCUGCCUGCCGCUGCUGUGCGUGUCAUGGGCGAGCGCGCUGGUGCUGGGCAGCGAGGCGGGCGCGCGCCGUAACGCGCUCAGCUCGCUGCUGGCCGCCGCUGUCACGCUGCACGCCGCCGCCGCCGCGCUCGGCCACCUGCUGCUCAACGUGCGCGUGCGCGACAACCUGCGCAGGACUGUCCUCAGAUGCUUGGGCAAGAAGGUUCCCCUUGCUGACACGUCCAUUAUAGUCAGCUCCAGCGCUGCGAACCUCUCUCAAGCAAACAGGUCAGCUCUGGCAUACCACAGCGGGGAGCCGGGCCGGCAGCUGCGCAACAUCGGCAUAUCUGCCUCCUCCACAACCUCGCGCUCCACUACUAAAACAAGCUCCAGCCCUUAUAGUCGUAGCGACGGCCAGCUACGGCACACGAGCACGUCGACGUCCAACUACAACACGAGCGCCAGCGACAUGCCCGCAUACCUCAGGGGCUUCGACUCCUCGCUGCACACCAGGAAAGAUGAUGAAGGAAGACGUCGUCGCAAACGUGCGAGCGAGGGCGCGGGGGGCGGUGUGGGCGCAGGGGGUGCGGCGGGUGCUGGGGGUGCGGGGGGUGCGGGGGGCGCGGAGGGCACGGACAGCGACAGCGACAGCGCGCGCAGCCUCGACCUCGCCUCCAGCCACUCCAGCGACGACGACGAGACCAGCACGCGCCGCUCCAGCCACGCGCCCUCCGCCAACAGAGAGCGCAACAGCAGCAGCAAUGGCGGCAACUACCUCCCCAACAUCACAGAAGGAGCGCCGCUCGCCUCCGCGCCGCGCUGGACACCGCAUGGCAGAGAAGAAGGGAACCGUCCAGACAUGGGCCGCUGGUCUCAGGAGACGGGCUCGGAGCAGGAUGCACUGAGCGCGGCGUCGCCUUCUCCCAACCCUCUGCCUCACCCCUUACCCCACCCCCUGCCCACACAAUUGCCCCCCGACCUCACGUCGGGCGUGUACCUCGGCCGCCACCGCCUCAAGCCCUCCAUACUGGAGAACGUGCACGACACUUACGUCGCCAGCGUCGACGCCUCGCGACUGCCGCUCGACAACAGAUAUGGCGUAAUGGACGAAGAACUGAUGUACGGUGUAUUACCUAACGAUACAGAGAAACAGAUACCUUACGACCCUAACUACCCCAUGUCACCCACAAUGUACAGAUUACCACAAAACCCUUACGGCUCCAAAACCUAUCUACCCGCAUCAAGAACCUCAGAAUACGGCUACAGUCCUACAAAGUAUUUGAACGGUGACCCCAAUGUGUACGGUUCGAGGGAUUUCCGGGACUCAGGAGUGACUACAAGGGAUCAUGAUGGUUACCCUUCGAGAGAUUUUAGGGACUCCGGGAUAGCGACUAUGUUGAAAAAUGAUUAUCAAAGGAAAAUGGAAAGCCAUUAUGGUGGAGAUUAUAAUGAUAGAAUGUCGGAAGGAUCGGAUAAGCUUACACACGAUAAAUAUUUAUUCCCUUACACGGCUGAGGAGGAUCACAUAGGAACGCGCGAGGGGGCGCUCGCCGCGCGCGCCAACGCACACGCAGGUGAAAAUCAACAGCAGAUGGCGCCACUAGCAACUAUGGGAGAAACCAGCGAAUGGUGGCGGUUAUAUGAGAAAAAUUCAUUAUAAAUCAUCUUUUGCUUUGCUAACUGGUGGUGUUGCCGUGCGCAAAAUCAUCUGCAACCAUCGUAGGGAGGAGGAAAUCAACUACUGAAGACGACGCAGAAACUCGAGUUUGAAGACAUCAUAGUACAAGAUUUCCAAUGAAUCUCAAUUAGUUAAAUUAAUUUAUUUAAUUUCGUUGUACUGUAGUUCGGAUACUAACUAAAUAGCUUGUAUGAAUUUCUAUAAAGACUGUCAACUCAAUACCCACUGCCAUAGCGUAGCAAAUAACGGCUAUUUAUUGUCUAUGCUUUAAAUAGAUUUAAGAUUAAAAUGGAUUUAAUUUUAACUGUAAUCUAGGGUUUAUAAUUUUCCAUACAAAAUGUGUAACCUGGACUUUGAUUAUUAACACCCGUGAAACAUAUUGUCAUCUCUUUUAUUCUUAUGGGAAAAACAUAACUAUAUUUCUGUGGAGGUGUUUCUGAAACACAAUAACGUUGAACAUUCCAUAUAAUGUCAAUUGAUAGAGCAAACUUUUGUUUAUCGAAUUUGUUUGGGAACAAAAAUCAUAUUAAUUUUUCACUUUUAACAAGAGUAGAAUAGAUUUUGAUAAUUAAAUAUACCCGUCAACGCAGCGUCCACUUAUUAUUUCAUCUGGUUUUUGGGUGGACGCGGCGUUCAGCCAUCAACGAGUUAAUGCUCCUUGUAAACUUAAUAAAUUGUCAGUUGCAUUUAUUACUAUUAAUUUAAAUAUAAAGUAAUGUACUCUAGCAAGUACUUAGUUUAAUUCAUGACGUUUUACUCAUGGUAUCUGACACAUUUUACACUUUAAUCCGGGUGUUGUGCAAAGACUAAAUGUAAUUCAUUAGGGAAAUGACAUCCAAAGGCAGUCAUGUAAAUAACCUUAGCGAUUUAAUAGCUUUAUUGUGUAAAAGUAAAUUAAUGCAAGAUGUUAAACAAUUUAUUUUUAUAUAAGAGAAACCAAAUUAUCGAGUGAAUAACGCAUUAUUCAAUGUUCAAUGAUAAUGUUUGCUUUAAGAAAUAUAGAAUGUGAAUAUGAAAUGUUAGUUUUCAUAAUUAGUAUUGUAAAUAGUUGAUUUUAAACGUGUGUUUGUGUGCAUUUUGUGCGUUUUAACGAAGAGUCCACCUAUUUUGUAAAUAUAACUGAAUUUUUACACUUUAUAGUUUUUUUUUUUAGUUUAUAGAGCUCAAACUUAAAGGCUUUCUCAAUACUUUCCAAUAUUGCCAUAUUGUUUUAAAAAUACUGCACAAUUUUGUAAGAAAUAAAAAAAAAAUCUCCUCAUUUUUAAUCUUUUUAAAAAACUUAUUCCGAGAAAUUAAAAAAUUAACACAAUGGCAAUUAUUGCAGUCAAAUAUGGUUGCUCAGAAUAUCGUACUAGGCGAUUUAGUAAAUAAGUUUUAAAUAUGCUUAGAAAAUUCAAUGUAAAUUUUGGCUCAUUUCAAAUUAUACAUUCCGCUUCGUGAUAAAUUCGAUAGGUACCUCUUUUUGGAAUUGUAUAGUAUAGCUGUACAUCUAAAGUGUUUUAUAUUGAAAAUAAAAUAUUUUAUUGCUAAAUUA